rnacentral:rRNA from 1 species
AUUGAACGCUGGCGGCAUGCCUUACACAUGCAAGUCGAACGGCAGCACGGGGCAACCUGGUGGCGAGUGGCGAACGGGUGAGUAAUGCAUCGGAACGUACCUUUCAGUGGGGGAUAACGUAGCGAAAGUUACGCUAAUACCGCAUAUUCUGUGAGCAGGAAAGCAGGGGAUCGCAAGACCUUGCGCUGAUUGAGCGGCCGAUGUCAGAUUAGCUAGUUGGUGAGGUAAAGGCUCACCAAGGCGACGAGCUGUAGCGGGUCUGAGAGGAUGAUCGGCCACACUGGAACUGAGACACGGUCCAGACUCCUACGGGAGGCAGCAGUGGGGAAUUUUGGACAAGGGGGGCAACCCUGAUCCAGCCAUGCCGCGUGAGUGAAGAAGGCCUUCGGGUUGUAAAGCUCUUUCGGCCGGGAAGAAAUCGCACGGGCUAAUACCCUGUGUGGAUGACGGUACCGGAAUAAGAAGCACCGGCUAACUACGUGCCAGCAGCCGCCGUAAGAC